rfam:Triticum aestivum genome assembly, contig: Triticum_aestivum_CS42_TGACv1_scaffold_592581_7BS
CAAAUACUCCCUCCGUCUGGAAAUACUGGUCAUCAAAAUGGAUAAAAGGAAAUGUAUCUAGACGUAUUUUAGUUUUAGAUACAUCUCUUUUUAUCCAUUUUUAUGACAAGUAUUUUCAGACAGAGGGAGUAGAAA